CCUACGGGUGGCUGCAGUGGGGAAUAUUGCACAAUGGGGGAAACCCUGAUGCAGCGACGCCGCGUGAAGGAAGAAGUAUUUCUGUAUGUAAACUUCUAUUAGCAGGGAAGAAAAUGACGGUACCUGAUCAAUUAUCUCUGGCUAACUACGUGCCAGCAGCCGCGGUAAUACGUAGGGGGCAAGCGUUAUCCGGAUUUACUGGGUGUAAAGGGAGCGUAGGCGGUUUAGCAAGUCAGAAGUGAAAGCCCGGGGCUCAACUCCGGGACUGCUUUUGAAACUGUUGAACUAGAUUGCAGGUGAGGUAAGUGGAAUGCCUAGUGUAGCGGUGAAAUGCAUAGAUAUUAGGAAGAACACCGAUGGCGAAGGCAGCUUACUAGACUGUAAAUGACGCUGAAGCUCGAAAGCGUGGGGAGCAAACAGGAUUAGAUACCCCGGUAGUC
rnacentral:rRNA from 1 species